rnacentral:rRNA from 1 species
CUACGGGGUGCUGCAGUGGGGAAUAUUGCGCAAUGGGCGAAAGCCUGACGCAGCAACGCCGCGUGGGUGAUGACGGUCUUCGGAUUGUAAAACCCUGUCUUCAGGGACGAUAAUGACGGUACCUGAGGAGGAAGCCACGGCUAACUACGUGCCAGCAGCCGCGGUAAUACGUAGGUGGCAAGCGUUGUCCGGAUUUACUGGGCGUAAAGGGUGCGUAGGCGGAUAAUUAAGUCAGAUGUGAAAUCCCAGGGCUCAACCUUGGGGCUGCAUUUGAUACUGGUUGUCUAGAGUGCAGGAGAGGAGAGUGGAAUUCCUAGUGUAGCGGUGAAAUGCGUAGAUAUUAGGAAGAACACCAGUGGCGAAGGCGACUCUCUGGACUGUAACUGACGCUGAGGCACGAAAGCGUGGGGAGCGAACAGGAUUAGAUACCCGAGUAGUC